AAUUCAGAAUUCACUUUCCCGCUCACCCAAAUCUUCUCCUUCAGCCACGAUCCGCUCUCCUAUAUGGAGCUCACCAAAUUUGUUAACCCUAAAUUCAGAAUUUUGUAUUCACGGCAUAAAAUACAAACCUCAACAACACCAAAUUGAGUUCACCCUUUCCAAAAUCGACUCGCUUUUCAUGUUAAACGGUGAUGGCCUCAUCUUUCUUACAUUCUUCAAGGGGUGAUGGGUAUGUAUGUUGAACCGACCAUAGGGAAAUCUUCGAUAAGAAAUUCACCGGUCUUCGAGUUAUAUGGUUUAUUAGGUUAUCAUCAAGAUCCACCACAUGUGAAUGCCGCCGCAGAGACGGUUGAAGGCAAGAAUUGAUUGUCCGUCACCUAAAUCUAUCGCUCCUCCGUCGCAGCCGUCUCCUCCACCGCCUUUCGUCGUACAGCCACCAGAUCUGAGGCUAGGUUUUCAAGGGAGUGAGGAAAAUCCUGAACCAGAGAUUCAGAAGCAGACUGGAUUCGUUACGCGAUCGAGUUUCUGGCAAGGUCCGGUAUCAGGUGGAAGAACGGAGGCCAAAAUCGGGCGGUGGAUAUGAGGUGAUGAAUCGGCCUAGAUCUAGUGGUUCAAAUUGUCCGUUUUCGAGUGGAUGAUUAGGUUUAAUUCGAUGGAGUCAAAAGAGGAAGCACAUAGUGAUGAUGGAUCUUACGAGUUGGUGAAAGAAGAUCCAAACAUGAUACGAAGAAAGACACCGUGUCAUCAUCAAUAAGGUGGUGCCAUGAUAUUGGUCGUGAGCAUGCUGCAAAUAAUCCUCGACUAAGUAAAAACCGUUUUCCAGGUCAUGAUGAGAUUGGGCAAAACAACGUUACUCUUGUUAUACGCGAUAAAACAAGAGUGAAAAUGAUGGAAGUGAGUAGGAAAUCCGGGCAUGCUACACAAGCAAAUGGUGAAGGAUAGUUAGUGUUCACUCACGUAGUUUAAUGGAGUAUUGUAUUUCUCUUAGUGUAUUUUUUUUUUUGUUUUUUGAAAUAUUGCAUGAGAUAUUGGUUUGUUAGUAUCAACAUUUAUGAAAUCUAUUGUUAAUUUUUAAA